rnacentral:rRNA from 1 species
UGAGGAAUAUUGGUCAAUGGCCGAAGGGCUGAACCAGCCAAGUCGCGUGAGGGAAGACGGCCCUACGGGUUGUAAACCUCUUUUGCCGGGGAGCAAAGGCGGUCACUGGUGACCGGAUGAGAGUACCCGGAGAAAAAGCAUUGGCUAACUCCGUGCC